CUGAGUACGGCGGAACACGUGAAAUUCCGUCGGAAUCCGGGAGGACCAUCUCCCAAGGCUAAAUACUCCCUAGUGACCGAUAGUGAACCAGUACCGUGAGGGAAAGGUGAAAAGCACCCCGGAAGGGGAGUGAAACAGUUCCUGAAACCGUGUGCCUACAAGUAGUUAGAGCCCGUUAAUGGGUGAUAGCGUGCCUUUUGUAGAAUGAACCGGCGAGUUACGAUUUGUUGCAAGGUUAAGCGGAAAAAGCGGAGCCGUAGCGAAAGCGAGUCUGAAUAGGGCGCAUAAGUAACAGGUCGUAGACCCGAAACCAGGUGAUCUACCCAUGUCCAGGAUGAAGGUAAGGUAAUACUUACUGGAGGUCCGAACCCACGCACGUUGAAAAGUGCGGGGAUGAGGUGUGGGUAGCGGAGAAAUUCCAAUCGAACUUGGAGAUAGCUGGUUCUCUCCG
rnacentral:rRNA from 1 species